rnacentral:rRNA from 1 species
AUGAACGCUGGCGGCGUGCCUCAUCCCUGCAAGUCGAGCGAACAGACGAGGAGCUUGCUCCUCUGACGUUAGCGGCGGACGGGUGAGUAACACGUGGAUAACCUACCUAUAAGACUGGGAUAACUUCGGGAAACCGGAGCUAAUACCGGAUAAUAUAUUGAACCGCAUGGUUCAAUAGUGAAAGACGGUUUUGCGGUCACUUAUAGAUGGAUCCGCGCCGCAUUAGCUAGUUGGUAAGGUAACGGCUUACCAAGGCAACGAUGCGUAGCCGACCUGAGAGGGUGAUCGGCCACACUGGAACUGAGACACGGUCCAGACUCCUACGGGAGGCAGCAGUAGGGAAUCUUCCGCAAUGGUCGGAAGCCUGACGGAGCAACGCCGCGUGAGUGAUGAAGGUCUUCGGAUCGUAAAACUCUGUUAUUAGGGAAGAACAAAUGUGUAAGUAACUAUGCACGUCUUGACGGCACCUAAUCAGAAAGCCACGGCUAACUACGUG